ensembl:lncRNA
ACCAGGACUAAACCAGGACUAAACCAGGUCUAAACCAGGUCUAAACCAGGACUAAACCAGGUCUAAACCAGGACUUAACCAGGUCUAAACCAGGACUAAACCAGGACUAAACCAGGUCUAAACCAGGACUAAACCAGGUCUAAACCAGGACUAAACCAGGACUAAACCAGGUCUAAACCAGGUCUAAACCAGGUCUAAACCAGGACUAAACCAGGACUAAACCAGGACUAAACCAGGUCUAAACCAGGUCUAAACCAGGUCUAAACCAGGACUAAACCAGGACUAAACCAGGACUAAACCAGGUCUAAACCAGGUCUAAACCAGGACUAAACCAGGACUAAACCAGGUCUAAACCAGGUCUAAACCAGGUCUAAACCAGGUCUAAACCAGGACUAAACCAGG